rnacentral:rRNA from 1 species
GGAUUCCCUAGUAGCGGCGAGCGAAGCGGGAAGAGCUCAAAUUUAUAAUCUGGCACCUUCGGUGUCCGAGUUGUAAUCUCUAGAAAUGUUUUCCGCGUUGGACCGCACACAAGUCUGUUGGAAUACAGCGGCAUAGUGGUGAGACCCCCGUAUAUGGUGCGGACGCCCAGCGCUUUGUGAUACAUUUUCGAAGAGUCGAGUUGUUUGGGAAUGCAGCUCAAAUUGGGUGGUAAAUUCCAUCUAAAGCUAAAUAUUGGCGAGAGACCGAUAGCGAACAAGUACCGUGAGGGAAAGAUGAAAAGCACUUUGGAAAGAGAGUUAACAGUACGUGAAAUUGUUGGAAGGGAAACGCUUGAAGUCAGACUUGCUUGCCGAGCAAUCGGUUUGCAGGCCAGCAUCAGUUUUCCGGGAUGGAUAAUGGUAGAGAGAAGGUAGCAGUUUCGGCUGUGUUAUAGCUCUCUGCUGGAUACAUCUUGGGGGACUGAGGAACGCAGUGUGCCUUUUGGCGGGGGUUUCGACCUCUUCACACUUAGGAUGCUGGUGGAAUGGCUUUAAACGACCCGUCUUGAAACACGGACCAAGGAGUCUAACAUGCUUGCGAGUAUUUGGGUGUCAAACCCGGAUGCGUAAUGAAAGUGAAUGGAGGUGGGAACCGCAAGGUGCACCAUCGACCGAUCUGGAUUUUUAAUGAUGGAUUUGAGUAAGAGCACGUAUGUUGGGACCCGAAAGAUGGUGAACUAUGCCUGAAUAGGGCGAAGCCAGAGGAAACUCUGGUGGAGGCUCGUAGCGGUUCUGACGUGCAAAUCGAUCGUCAAAUUUGGGUAUAGGGGCGAAAGACUAAUCGAACCAUCUAGUAGCUGGUUCCUGCCGAAGUUUCCCUCAGGAUAGCAGAAACUCACAUCAGUUCUAUGAGGUAAGCGAAUGAUUAAAGGCCUUGGGGUUGAACAACCUUAACCUAUUCUCAACUUUAA